rnacentral:rRNA from 1 species
UCAGGAUGAACGCUAGCGAUAGGCCUAACACAUGCAAGUCGAGGGCAGCAUAGAGUAGCAAUACUUGAUGGCGACCGGCGCACGGGUAGAGUAACACGUAUGCGAACCUACCUACAGUCAGGGGAAUAACCCGGAGAAAUUCGGACUAAUACCGCAUAAUACAGGGGAUGCCGCAUGGCAAUAUUGUUAAAGAUUUAUCGGAUGGUAGAUGGGCAUGCGUUCCAUUAGCUGGUUGGUAAGGUAACGGCUUACCAAGGCAACGAUGGAUAGGGGAACUGAGAGGUUUGUCCCCCACACUGGAACUGAGACACGGACCAGACUCCUACGGGAGGCAGCAGUGAGGAAUAUUGGUCAAUGGACGAGAGUCUGAACCAGCCAAAUCGCGUGAAGGAAAGACUGCCCUACGGGUUGUAAACUUCUUUGUACAGGAAUAAAAGACAGUUACGUGUAAUGUAUUGCAUGUACUGUACGAAUAAGCAUCGGCUAACUCCGUGCCAGCAGCGGC